rnacentral:rRNA from 2 species
UGACCCUGCGGCGUGCUAUACAUGCAAGUCGAGCGAACUGAUUAGAAGCUUGCUUCUAUGACGUUAGCGGCGGACGGGUGAGUAACACGUGGGCAACCUGCCUGUAAGACUGGGAUAACUUCGGGAAACCGAAGCUAAUACCGGAUAGGAUCUUCUCCUUCAUGGGAGAUGAUUGAAAGAUGGUUUCGGCUAUCACUUACAGAUGGGCCCGCGGUGCAUUAGCUAGUUGGUGAGGUAACGGCUCACCAAGGCAACGAUGCAUAGCCGACCUGAGAGGGUGAUCGGCCACACUGGGACUGAGACACGGCCCAGACUCCUACGGGAGGCAGCAGUAGGGAAUCUUCCGCAAUGGACGAAAGUCUGACGGAGCAACGCCGCGUGAGUGAUGAAGGCUUUCGGGUCGUAAAACUCUGUUGUUAGGGAAGAACAAGUACAAGAGUAACUGCUUGUACCUUGACGGUACCUAACCAGAAAGCCACGGCUAACUACGUGCCAGCAGCCGCGGUAAUACGUAGGUGGCAAGCGUUAUCCGGAAUUAUUGGGCGUAAAGCGCGCGCAGGCGGUUUCUUAAGUCUGAUGUGAAAGCCCACGGCUCAACCGUGGAGGGUCAUUGGAAACUGGGGAACUUGAGUGCAGAAGAGAAAAGCGGAAUUCCACGUGUAGCGGUGAAAUGCGUAGAGAUGUGGAGGAACACCAGUGGCGAAGGCGGCUUUUUGGUCUGUAACUGACGCUGAGGCGCGAAAGCGUGGGGAGCACACAGGAUUAGAUACCCUGGUAGUCCACGCCGUAAACGAUGAGUGCUAAGUGUUAGAGGGUUUCCGCCCUUUAGUGCUGCAGCUAACGCAUUAAGCACUCCGCCU